CACACAGGGAGAAACUACCACUUCUCUUCAUGAAUUAAAAAGACAGAGCUCUGCUGAGAAGAAGAAAACUGAUUAUAUACACCAGGGGAAAACACAUUAUGUGACACGGUUUCUGUGGUGCUUUGGUCUUAUAUUGUACUGAGGAAAAGAGUCAGGCUCUGCUUUUGCUUCCUGAACACAGCCUACCACACAAAGCAGGGGAUGCAAUAGCUAAUGAAGUAGUUCAUUUAGGCAGAAAUUUGGUAAGAGUCUGAGAAAAUUAUUCAAUCAUUUUCUAGUGUUAAACAAAAAAGAAAUGGGCAGGAGAAGAUAUGCUAUCUCAGUGAAGGGGCAAGGAAUUUAAUGAAAUAAUGACUUGUUUUACAUAGACUUCACCCCAAGUUUGUGCAGAAGUGGUAGGAAACAAAGCUUCAUGAAGGCAUUGUAAUGUUAGCGGCCCAGAGUGUGAGGAGUCAGCCAUGUCACCCCGUGUACUGACUGCUGGGGCUUUGAGCAAGGCAAUCUGCCUGUGUGCCGAUACCCAUGACAGAAGGAGCCUUGCGGCCUGGCAUCACGUACUGCCUGACAAAAUGUCUCAUGUGACACCUUUGUCACCAGGGCUGCUGCACUGGAUUAGGUUUCAUUCUGCUACCAGUAAAUGACAGAGAUGACAGCAGGAAGCACUUAACCAUUCAAGAGUACCGUAUCUCCAAAUCGACUCCAAGCUACAGAGACCAUCGCAGCUACUCCACGGUGACAGAAACAGCAACAGAAAGGGUAUCACACCUUUGCGGUCAGAAUCUAACUCCAAAAGAGUCAAGAAGUGCUUUUGAGGGAGGCAUUACCUGCUACUUGGAUUGCUAAUAAAAGGUCUGGUAAAAAUCAGUCCCAGAA